UCAGUAGUGAUUGACGUUGGACUUAAGUUAAUAAAAAGGACCACUGUUUGAUUUGCCGCAACUGCAAUCUUGUGGAGCUGAAACCACUUGAUAACAGAACUGACCUCGAACUAGAUUAGGUUGUCUGGUGAGUUGAAAAAACAAAAAUAAAAUAAAAUAAAAUAUAUAUUUUUUUACAAUAAAAAAACACUUACAGAGGACAAAGAGAAAUAUUUGUAAUUUAAUUUUGGGAACAAAAUAUUCCCCAAAUCGUCAUAAAAAAUAUUGUCGGCGGAACCUACAAAAAGUCCAAAGGAAAAAAAACGAAAUUACAAGAAAAAAGAAAUGGUAAAGCCAGCGAACAAAAGUUGAAGUGGUUUGAAAGAUUGAUUUGGAGAAUCAAUCAUCAACACAUGACAAGAGAAUAAGAAAGAAACAUGGAAACAGAACAAGAAGAACAUGAUCAUCAACAACAACACCUACCCACAUACGAUCCACUCUCCCACGUUGCAAAGAAAGAACUUUGUCGUAUCAAAUCAGCACAGAAAGCUGUUCAUCUUAUCCCUCUUCUUGUUCUUCUUUGUGCUAUCAUCCUUUGGUUCUUCUCUUCUCCUACCAAAAGUAGUCAAAACUAAGAAACUUAACUUCCAUCACUAAGAUUUCAUGAUGGAUGCACAAUUUCACUAUACAAGAAUCUAACUAGGACAAGACCAACUCAAAUGUUAUUUUGGAUCAGAUACAUCGAUUUUUGUUAAUUCAACUUUCUCUUAUAUUUAGGACAGGACAGGACGGGAGGUAUUAUUAAUUUGCUCUGAUUAAUCGAUUUAAUUAUAAAUUAAGAAAGAAAGAAAAUUAUGUUGUACUACAGCAAUGGAAUCUAGAUUGAAAUUUCAUCAGAUUGUCAUGUAUCAAUAUUAUUCAGUGGAUUUGGUUGUGUAGUAUGUAUCUAUAACUUUUAAUGCA